rnacentral:lncRNA from 1 species
GGUGGAAAUAAGGUUAAUAUGAUACAGUGUCUUUAUUAUGACUCAGGUCAAGUCUGAAAUUUCACUUCUAUUAAUCUCCUGAUAAUCAUUUCCUUCUGCCCCAUCCUUAACCAAAGUACUGGAGCAGUAAAUAAAACUAGCUGAUUUUAUUAGGAUAUUAUACCAAUGUCAGUCACAGACAAUUGUAGAAUGUGUUGUUGCUAAGGUGAUGCUUUGUUACCCAGAUUGCUUACUUAGAAGGAAACUUCCAUUCUUCCUAAGUGCUGACUGCUCUUGUGUUAUUAUUUUACGCAUUAAAAAUCGAGGGGGAAAAAAUCCAAAUUAUUUGGAACUUGACAGUCUUACUUUAAGUAAUGCUGAUAUUCACUGAUACAUACUC